rnacentral:rRNA from 1 species
AAACUCAAAUGAAUUGACGGGGGCCCGCACAAGCGGUGGAGCAUGUGGUUUAAUUCGAUGCAACGCGAAGAACCUUACCUGGUCUUGACAUCCACAGAACUUUCCAGAGAUGGAUUGGUGCCUUCGGGAACUGUGAGACAGGUGCUGCAUGGCUGUCGUCAGCUCGUGUUGUGAAAUGUUGGGUUAAGUCCCGCAACGAGCGCAACCCUUAUCCUUUGUUGCCAGCGGUCCGGCCGGGAACUCAAAGGAGACUGCCAGUGAUAAACUGGAGGAAGGUGGGGAUGACGUCAAGUCAUCAUGGCCCUUACGACCAGGGCUACACACGUGCUACAAUGGCAUAUACAAAGAGAAGCGACCUCGCGAGAGCAAGCGGACCUCAUAAAGUAUGUCGUAGUCCGGAUUGGAGUCUGCAACUCGACUCCAUGAAGUCGGAAUCGCUAGUAAUCGUAGAUCAGAAUGCUACGGUGAAUACGUUCCCGGGCCUUGUACACACCGCCCGU